rnacentral:tRNA from 1 species
UAAGAUGGCUGAAGAAGGUGUUGGAUUGUAGUUCCGCUCAUAAAGGUUUAAGCCCUUUUCUUCC